rnacentral:rRNA from 1 species
GACGAACGCUGGCGGCGUGCUUAACACAUGCAAGUCGAACGGAAAGGCCCUGCUUGCAGGGUACUCGAGUGGCGAACGGGUGAGUAACACGUGGGUGAUCUGCCCUGCACUUCGGGAUAAGCUUGGGAAACUGGGUCUAAUACCGGAUAGGAGCCAUCUUUAGUGUGGUGGUUGGAAAGUUUUUUCGGUGUAGGAUGAGCUCGCGGCCUAUCAGCUUGUUGGUGGGGUAAUGGCCUACCAAGGCGGCGACGGGUAGCCGGCCUGAGAGGGUGUACGGCCACAUUGGGACUGAGAUGCGGCCCAGACUCCUACGGGAGGCAGCAGUGGGGAAUAUUGCACAAUGGGCGCAAGCCUGAUGCAGCGACGCCGCGUGGGGGAUGAAGGCCUUCGGGUUGUAAACUCCUUUCGCUAGGGACGAAGCUUUGUUGUGACGGUACCUAGAUAAGAAGCACCGGCUAACUACGUG